GCAGGAAACGGGGCAGACUGCUGGUGAUAGCAGAGUAUUGCAUUUGUCCACAAGUGGAAUAAAGCAGCUUGUGAGAGAAUGUCCCCCUCGUCCCCAUGGGGAUUUUUCUCAGGCUCACGUUGUGAAAACAUGAAAGCUGUGGUCCGGGUUAGUGCAGGGACCGGACUCAGACCCUACAGGCCUGGGCCCCGCGGGGUGGAUGAAGCCUCCAGAGCCCCUUUCAUUUCCAGGAUCGCCUUCUCCACGAGACGUUACUACGCGGUGAAGUCCAGCGAUCUCCAGUGUGGGGGUGAGGAAGUCUCCACGGACGAGUGAACCCCUGAAAUUGGGGCGGCUGCGGGGACAGGGGCGGCCCUGGGGGUCCAGACCCGGCUCUUGGGAGCAGCCCGCCGCGGCCGGGAGGAGGGAGCCUGCUCAGAGCACCGCCUCCCUUGCCGCCGCUGCCGCUGAACUAUUACAGGGAUCCCCCCCCCCCCAGGUUCUCAGCUACGGAUCCAGGUUUUUCCUUUUCUUUCUUCCUUUUCCUUCCUCUCUCCUCUCGCUCCCACUUUUUUCUUUUUUUUUUUGGCUUUUAAGAAUAAAGCUGCUAUGAUCAUU